GACGAACGCUGGCGGCGUGCUUAACACAUGCAAGUCGAGCGAUGAAGUUUGGUUCUUGUGCUAAUUUCAAGUGCCGCGAACGGGCGAGUAACGCGUGGGGAAUCUGCCUUUCAGCGGGGGACAACCUUUGGACUCGAAUGCAAAUUCCGCAUAACAGCCUUCAACAUUAGUCUUGUGUUCAAAAUUAGCAAUUGCCUCAUUCACAGAUGAUCUCGCGUUGUUUUAGUUAGUUGGUGGGGUAAAGGCUCACUAAGGCGAUGAUACAUAGCCGACUUGAGAGGGUGAGCGGCCACAUUGGGGCUGGGACACGGCCCAAACUCAUACGGGAAGCAGCAGUAGGGAUUCUGCGGCAAUGGACGAGAGUCUGACCGAGCAACGCCGCAUGAGUGAAGAAGGUUUUCGGAUCGUAAAACUCUGUUGGUAGAGAAGAACGUUGGUGAGAGUGGAAAGCUCAUCGAGUGACGGUAACUACCCAGAAAGGAACGGCUAACUACGUG
rnacentral:rRNA from 1 species